rnacentral:rRNA from 1 species
CCGGAAUCAUUGGGCGUAAAGAGCUCGUAGGCGGUUCAGUGAGUCGGCUGUGAAAUUCCGAGGCUCAACCGCGGAACUGCAGUCGAAACUACUGUGACUCGAGUCCGGUAGAGGAGAAUGGAAUUCCCGGUGUAGCGGUGAAAUGCGCAGAUAUCGGGAGGAACACCAGUAGCGAAGGCGGUUCUCUGGGCCGGUACUGACGCUGAGGAGCGAAAGCGUGGGGAGCAAACA